CUGAAUUCCCCCUUCUCACACUAUAAAUACCAUGACUCUCUCUCUCUCUCUCUCCAAAAACUGUAGAUAUCAAAAACCGUUGAUAUUACUCAUCACUUCUACUGCACAGAGAUUGACGAAGCCUACCACUUUCGUGUCUUCCAACACUCACAUAUGCUUUAUUACCGUCUCUGUAAAGUUGUGUUGCAACUCUUAAAUACUUCUUCUGUCAUCACUUUUUAUAUGAAUCUUUUUGUUUGUUUAGUGUUGUUGCAGCGUGAGUGCUACUACCAGAUGAUUCCAUUAGAGAUGGAUCUUAAUUCGCCUCCUCAUCAACGACGGUUUGCAGCGGGGACGUGCCUUAGUACAUCAACCUGAAAAUUUCAGAGUAGAAUGGAGUUAGGGGAAGAGAUCAGGAGCGGUCUUUUUUUUUAUAACACUUGCUCUGCUAAGUUCAAGAAAGAGAGGCUGCUGUUAAAUGCAUCCCACAAUCUAAGAUACUCAGAUGAGGGGUGGGAGGUGAGGGAUGAAGAUGGCUACAUGAGAGGAUCAGAUGCAAGGAGUCGAGCGGGAGAGAAGAGAAGAUUAUUGUUUCUGUUAGUUUGAAGCCAGUAAGUGAGAAAGAUAGGCAUAGCGGAUUGGGAGUGUAUCAAUGAUGAAAUAGUCCAACACAGGAGCCAUCUUUCCAUUUCUGAGCGUUCCAUGUACCCCACAACAUAUAAGUUUGUGUGUUUGGCCUUGAUUGUUGUACGAAGGAGGUGUAUGAUUAAGGGGUGAAGGAAGUGUCUCUCUUUUUUUCAUUGGGGUUCAUGGUAAGGCAUGUUGCUGAAACAAGAGAGCCGAAGAAGGAUUUAACGAAUCAGCGGCUUGCUACAACCUAGGAUCCAUGGCUUUUGGUUCGCUCAUUGUCUAUUUUGUGGAGUCUGUUCGGUCAUUCUUGAAGCAAUUCGUCGAAGAACAAAACUAAUCGGGACGACACUUGAUCACUGGUUUUCCAGAAUAAUGGGUAAUUACACUUCACGUGGUUGUCUCAAAAACAUUGAAUGGACUAUCAGAUUGGUUAUCUGCAAUUCCUACAUGAUGGUAACAAAAUUUAUUCCCUUCGAGCAAAGGAAAGCCUAUCUCUUUGACCAUUUCUUGAUAGAUUGCUGUCUCUUGGCUUCUUAUACAAAUUGCUAUAACAGGGAAAAGCUUCUGCAAAUUGUCUGCAAUCGCAGUUGAAGACUUGAAGCCUGAGGAAAUCAGUGGCAUCAACAGCUGUUUUACUGAGCCUGGAACGCUUGCUGCAACGGGAUUGUUCAUCGGUGGCACAAAGUACAUGGCAAUUUAAGGAGAGACACAUGCUGUCACUCGAGGGAAGAAGGGAGAUUGUGGUGUUACAACCAAGAAGGCAACCCAAGCCUUGGCUUCUGUGACGAACCAAUGACUCCUGGCCAAUGCAAUAUGGUUGUGAAGAGGCUUCGUGACCACCUGAUUGAAUCAGGGCUCCGAAACCCAUAUUUUCUUCCUAUUGAGGGGAAAGCUAUUUAUGGAGUGUGAUCGAUGAUUUUAAUAUUUCAACUGUGUAUUACCUUCUACCAUGUGAUGAAUAUUGGGGUUGUAAGAUUCUAAAACAGUCUGGUAUUGUCUUCAUUUGUCAAUUGUGUCAAGUUGCAAAAUUUUAAUUAAUGGUAGUGUC